UGUAUAAAUAGCACCCACAUUACCGGUUGUCUUCAAGCUCAAAACCCCAACUGAAUUUGAUAAUUUAAUCCAAAAACCCCAUUGAUACAAUUUGGAGUUUUCUCCUCUGUCUUACUUUCUGUUUCGGCCACCCCUGUGGACCACCACUACUACCAUCUCCGGCUGAAAAAUUCCAGUCAGCCACCCGAUUUCAUAACUCCGACCCGGCGCCACCAUCUCUUACUCGUCGGAGUCCACCAUCCCUUGCUACUAUGGCGCAUUGUUGCGUGAGCUACUGCUCUGUUCUCGUUGUUGUCUGCUACUGCAUCUUGUUUUCAUCUCAUAUCAAUAUAACCUAAAGUAUUAUGUUAUGGGCCUCCCAUCAUUUAAAGUGGGUCAUGGGUUUUAAUUGAGGGAGCAAGCACCACUUGGGAUUCUUCCAGCAAGUCACGUAUAAGUUGUCAACAUAACUAAUUUUGAGGAUUACUAAUUAGUACGGAGCUCAUGGGGGAUUAAGGUUAAGCAUCGAGGUUCCAUUAAGGAGCUCAAGUUGCGCAAACGAUAGUUAUUACUGGAGUUGGUUAUUUAUUAUGGAGAUAUCGAGACGAGGAAUUAUUUACUAUGGAAAUCCUGUUAUUGAGGUCCCAGGAUUAAUUAAGCCUAAUUCCGCUGCUAAUGAUCAGCUAAGUACGGUUUAUUACCGAUAUUUAAGGAGUCGAAAAGUCGGGGCGUUACAGGUUACACUUAAAAAGCUGCUAAACAACAGUAAAACUAGCAUAAUCAUGCACUAGGUUGCAUAGCUGACUACAAUCUUACAAAAACUAAAAGUAUAAAGACUGUAGUAACAAAUUAAAAAGGGACCAACAACCUGGAACAAAACUACUAAACCUUAAAGGCAUAAAACACCAGUUAAGACUGGCUAGAAGAACACACACAAACCACCUCCUCUCCAAAAGCAAGUGAAGCCAGAAAUACAAAAUUAAUCUGCAGAAGAUGAAGGAGAGAUCAUUCAUCAUCCCUCUUUCUCCUCUUUGAUUUAUCAGCAUCAUAAGGUGGAGUACAAGCUGUGAACAUUGGAUCCUCAUCAUCAAAACCCUCACCAUCAUAGAUCUCCAGCUCCAUAUCAUUGACAUAC